GGUGAGAGUGGAUAAAAAGAGGGUGCUGCACAGCGACAGGCUACAUUGACAGCGGAUCAGGAUCAGUUGAGGAUGACUCUGCUGUGGCUGCUGGCCUCUGUGGCCUUUGUCUCCCUGACUUCUCUAGCUGAUGGAGCUGCAUUGCAGGUGAUGUCUGCCCCCAACUUGUUGCGGGUAGGAACAGCAGAAAACAUCUUUGUGGAGUGUCAAGACUGCUCCGGUGCAAACAUCCCGGUCGAAAUCAGCGUGAGGAACCAUCCAACCAAAAACAAAAGGCUGGCAUUCACACCUGUGACACUUACCAGUGCAAACAACUUCCAGGCGCUCGGACAAAUAACGAUCCCUGCUGGAGACUUCAGCAAGGAUCCCAACAUGAAGCAGUAUGUGUACCUGCAAGCUCAGUUCCCUGACCGGCUGCUGGAGAAAGUGGUCUUAGUGUCCUUCCAGUCCGGGUACAUCUUCAUCCAGACUGACAAGACUCUCUACACCCCCAACAGCAACGUUCAUUACAGGAUGUUUGCACCAUCGAGAUUGUGACCCCUGAAGGCAUCAUUUUACCAAUUGAUCCAGUCUCUUUGAAAUCAGGGAUGCACACUGGAGAUUUUCAACUCGCUGAAAUUGUCAGUCCCGGACUGUGGAAGGUGGUGACGAAGUUCCAC